UAAGCGACUAAGCGUACACGGUGGAUGCCCUGGCAGUCAGAGGCGAUGAAGGACGUGCUAAUCUGCGAUAAGCGUCGGUAAGGUGAUAUGAACCGUUAUAACCGGCGAUUUCCGAAUGGGGAAACCCAGUGUGAUUCGUCACACUAUCAUUAACUGAAUUCAUAGGUUAAUGAGGCGAACCGGGGGAACUGAAACAUCUAAGUACCCCGAGGAAAGGAAAUCAACCGAGAUUCCCCCAGUAGCGGCGAGCGAACGGGGAGCAGUCCAGAGCCUGAAUCAGUGUGUGUGUUAGUGGAAGCGUCUGGAAAGGCGCGCGAUACAGGGUGACAGCCCCGUACACAAAAAUGCACAUACUGUGAGCUCGAUGAGUAGGGCGGGACACGUGGUAUCCUGUCUGAAUAUGGGGGGACCAUCCUCCAAGGCUAAAUACUCCUGACUGACCGAUAGUGAACCAGUACCGUGAGGGAAAGGCGAAAAGAACCCCGGCGAGGGGAGUGAAAAAGAACCUGAAACCGUGUACGUACAAGCAGUGGGAGCACGCUUAGGCGUGUGACUGCGUACCUUUAGUAUAAUGGGUCAGCGACUUAUAUUCUGUAGCAAGGUUAACCGAAUAGGGGAGCCGAAGGGAAACCGAGUCUUAACUGGGCGUUAAGUUGCAGGGUAUAGACCCGAAACCCGGUGAUCUAGCCAUGGGCAGGUUGAAGGUUGGGUAACACUAACUGGAGGACCGAACCGACUAAUGUUGAAAAAUUAGCGGAUGACUUGUGGCUGGGGGUGAAAGGCCAAUCAAACCGGGAGAUAGCUGGUUCUCCCCGAAAGCUAUUUAGGUAGCGCCUCGUGAAUUCAUCUCCGGGGGUAGAGCACUGUUUCGGCAAGGGGGUCAUCCCGACUUACCAACCCGAUGCAAACUGCGAAUACCGGAGAAUGUUAUCACGGGAGACACACGGCGGGUGCUAACGUCCGUCGUGAAGAGGGAAACAACCCAGACCGCCAGCUAAGGUCCCAAAGUCAUGGUUAAGUGGGAAACGAUGUGGGAAGGCCCAGACAGCCAGGAUGUUGGCUUAGAAGCAGCCAUCAUUUAAAGAAAGCGUAAUAGCUCACUGGUCGAGUCGGCCUGCGCGGAAGAUGUAACGGGGCUAAACCAUGCACCGAAGCUGCGGCAGCGACGCUUAUGCGUUGUUGGGUAGGGGAGCGUUCUGUAAGCCUGCGAAGGUGUGCUGUGAGGCAUGCUGGAGGUAUCAGAAGUGCGAAUGCUGACAUAAGUAACGAUAAAGCGGGUGAAAAGCCCGCUCGCCGGAAGACCAAGGGUUCCUGUCCAACGUUAAUCGGGGCAGGGUGAGUCGACCCCUAAGGCGAGGCCGAAAGGCGUAGUCGAUGGGAAACAGGUUAAUAUUCCUGUACUUGGUGUUACUGCGAAGGGGGACGGAGAAGGCGUAUCGUUGGCCGGGCGACGGUUGUCCCGGUUUAAGCGUGUAGGCUGGUUUUCCAAGCAAAUCCGGAAAAUCAAGGCUGAGGCGUGAUGACGAGGCACUACGGUGCUGAAGCAACAAAUGCCCUGCUUCCAGGAAAAGCCUCUAAGCAUCAGGUAACAUCAAAUCGUACCCCAAACCGACACAGGUGGUCAGGUAGAGAAUACCAAGGCGCUUGAGAGAACUCGGGUGAAGGAACUAGGCAAAAUGGUGCCGUAACUUCGGGAGAAGGCACGCUGAUAUGUAGGUGAAGUCCCUCGCGGAUGGAGCUGAAAUCAGUCGAAGAUACCAGCUGGCUGCAACUGUUUAUUAAAAACACAGCACUGUGCAAACACGAAAGUGGACGUAUACGGUGUGACGCCUGCCCGGUGCCGGAAGGUUAAUUGAUGGGGUCAGCGCAAGCGAAGCUCUUGAUCGAAGCCCCGGUAAACGGCGGCCGUAACUAUAACGGUCCUAAGGUAGCGAAAUUCCUUGUCGGGUAAGUUCCGACCUGCACGAAUGGCGUAAUGAUGGCCAGGCUGUCUCCACCCGAGACUCAGUGAAAUUGAACUCGCUGUGAAGAUGCAGUGUACCCGCGGCAAGACGGAAAGACCCCGUGAACCUUUACUAUAGCUUGACACUGAACAUUGAGCCUUGAUGUGUAGGAUAGGUGGGAGGCUUUGAAGUGUGGACGCCAGUCUGCAUGGAGCCGGCCUUGAAAUACCACCCUUUAAUGUUUGAUGUUCUAACGUUGACCCGUGAUCCGGGUUGCGGACAGUGUCUGGUGGGUAGUUUGACUGGGGCGGUCUCCUCCUAAAGAGUAACGGAGGAGCACGAAGGUUGGCUAAUCCUGGUCGGACAUCAGGAGGUUAGUGCAAUGGCAUAAGCCAGCUUGACUGCGAGCGUGACGGCGCGAGCAGGUGCGAAAGCAGGUCAUAGUGAUCCGGUGGUUCUGAAUGGAAGGGCCAUCGCUCAACGGAUAAAAGGUACUCCGGGGAUAACAGGCUGAUACCGCCCAAGAGUUCAUAUCGACGGCGGUGUUUGGCACCUCGAUGUCGGCUCAUCACAUCCUGGGGCUGAAGUAGGUCCCAAGGGUAUGGCUGUUCGCCAUUUAAAGUGGUACGCGAGCUGGGUUUAGAACGUCGUGAGACAGUUCGGUCCCUAUCUGCCGUGGGCGCUGGAGAACUGAGGGGGGCUGCUCCUAGUACGAGAGGACCGGAGUGGACGCAUCACUGGUGUUCGGGUUGUCAUGCCAAUGGCACUGCCCGGUAGCUAAAUGCGGAAGAGAUAAGUGCUGAAAGCAUCUAAGCACGAAACUUGCCCCGAGAUGAGUUCUCCCUGACUCCUUGAGAGUCCUGAAGGAACGUUGAAGACGACGACGUUGAUAGGCCGGGUGUGUAAGCGCAGCGAUGCGUUGAGCUAACCGGUACUAAUGAACCGUGAGGCUUAACCU
rnacentral:rRNA from 1 species